UUGCUGUGAUGACUUAUCUUAGGACACCUUUGGAGUACUCAUGAAAAAAAAGUGAUUUCUGAGCAAC
rnacentral:snoRNA from 1 species